rnacentral:rRNA from 1 species
UACGUAGGGUGCAAGCGUUGUCCGGAUUUAUUGGGCGUAAAGAGCUCGUAGGCGGCUAGUCACGUCGGAUGUGAAAACCCGGGGCUUAACCCCGGGCCUGCAUUCGAUACGGGCUGGCUAGAGUGUUGUAGGGGAGACUGGAACUCCUGGUGUAGCGGUGAAAUGCGCAGAUAUCAGGAAGAACACCGGUGGCGAAGGCGGGUCUCUGGGCAACUACUGACGCUGAGGAGCGAAAGCGUGGGGAGCAAACAGGAUUAGAAACCCGAGUAGUCC